AUAAACUACCUACUAACCUUCUACCUUAAUCCUCGACCUCCACACCCUCCUAUCAACGGUCAUGUCCUCCGUGAGCUGAAGCAGCGGUAUGUCCCGCCUAAUCACCUCUCCCCAGUACUUAGGAGAGCCAAUAGGCAUAUCUUUUUAAUUCUUAUAAACAAAUUCUCUAAUUGAACUUUCUCUGUACUCUUAUCUCCACCAUGCACCCAUUCCGUCAAAAAGGACAACUCCCUGCAAAGCUAGUUGAUUUGGGCUAUGUAUCAAAAGCUGUUAUAAAUCUCAUGUAUAGUUCCUCAUUAUUUCUGACCCAGCCUCCAUCUUUUUACCUGUAAUAUAGGUGGUGCUUUUCUUUGUCAUUUUGGCUCAAAAUGUUGUUAUACAUGCAUGCGUGAUAACUACUUUACGAGAGAAAUAAAUUGUUGCUUACAGAAGAAAAAAAUUGCUAGGAAAUUUAAUCUAAUAUAGACAACUCAUAAUGGAGCUUUAUUGUGUUAAAAGUUUUGCUAGGUUGUCGUAGAUCAAACUUUUGCUUGGUGAAGACAUCCUUUAUUCCAGAAGAAUUACAAAGUCAUAUUCCUUUUCUUGUUGUGUUGGCCACCUAUUGUGGGCAGUUUUAUUUUAAUGAUGCGUUGUUAUUUGGAUAACCUUUCCUUUUUUGAAGUGGUUUAUUCUCAUGAUCAAUGCUAUAUUGGACAUGCAAUCAUCUUCUACGAAAUUUCAUAUAUCUGUGUAUUUGAUCCUUUGGUAUGUAAGAGCUGGUAUUACUAUGUUCUUCACUUCUUCUGGCUUAAUAUUUUAACUUGGACCACGAACAGUGAUGCUAGAAGAAUUCAAGAUAGGUAGGAGAAAACCUGUCAGUCUAAAAUCUCUCUCUGAAGUUUGAGCGGAAUCAUUUGGUUCUAUGAUGGUAGAAGACACAUUCGUUUUCUUGCAUAUAUUAUUAGCUGUAUAAAAUAUUUAUUUUGUAGCUCUAGUCAUUUUUUAGGCUUUUGUAAUUACAAGUGUAACUAAUGACUGCUUCGGCGCUGCUUUUUUUUGGCUUCAGCAAAUGUACUGUUUAAAAUUUUCUUUCCGCUCAUUCAAAUGAAUACUUGUUUCAUAAUAGGUGGAUGUUACAGACUGUAAAGUUUGUCGUUAUAACUAAACCUGGAUCACUGUACACUGUUCUUCGCUUUGGAGAAGAAAAGAUGCAGAAUAACUUUUUAAUGAAACAAAAGAUUGAGGAUUCUUUUUCUUUUAUUUGCAGGCAAAAACACUAAUUUUGAAGCUGACAGCGGAGAAAAAUUCUGCAAUGCAGCAAAGUAACAAGCUUCAGCAAGAACUGGAGUUCUUGAAGCGUGAAAGCAGCAGAAGUCGUGGCGGAAUCCCAUUUAUGUAUGUUGUUAUUGUUGGACUGCUUGGCAUCUUUCUUGGCUAUCUUCUCAAGAAGACAUGACCACUAAGAGGUUGCUGCUGUAUCGUCAGUGCCCCAAGUGUUUAAAAAAUUAUAGAACCUUGAAGAAAAAGGUGACUAAUCCAGUAAAGCUUUGUAUCAUUAGUUGUCUGGUUGACUGAAAUGUACAAGACAGGUUUUAAUCUGUUUCUGUAAUGUGAGCUCAAGAGCUUCAUCGUGUGACUAACUGCAUUUGACAUCCUUUGCCUACAUGUGGAGGAGACAUUUUAGUGCCAAUUAAGCAUACCUCCUGAUUAUGGGACUUGUGCUGCAGCUAGUGUGUCUGUUCACUGAGUUUUUAGAGUUGAUGUGAUCUUAUUGGUAUGGACAGACGGUUUUGAUUUACUUAGACUAGUUUUACAUUUAUAGUUACAACUUUAUUUCUUGAGA